UACGAAGGGGGCUAGCGUUGUUCGGAUUUACUGGGCGUAAAGCGCACGUAGGCGGAUUGUUAAGUCAGGGGUGAAAUCCCGGAGCUCAACUCCGGAACUGCCUUUGAUACUGGCGACCUCGAGGCCGGAAGAGGUUAGUGGAAUUCCCAGUGUAGAGGUGAAAUUCGUAGAUAUUGGGAGGAACACCAGUGGCGAAGGCGGCUAACUGGUCCGGGACUGACGCUGAGGUGCGAAAGCGUGGGGAGCAAACAGG
rnacentral:rRNA from 1 species